CUAGAACAAAAAGAAUCUCAAAUGUAUCAAUUAACAUAUUAUUAUAUAUAAAUUCCCAUUAAUUGCUAAGACUAUUUUUUUUUUAUCUAAAUUGCUCUAUUUAUAGUUAUCAAUAUCAUGGUUUAGAACAUGUCCAUGAAUUACAGUUUAUAUGAGACAUACUUAGAAUAUUAGCAAUAUGGAAAUGAUUCACAAUUGCUAUUAGUUGUGGCUACAUAUUCCAUAAUAUUAAUACAGUGUGCCUGUAGUUGCCUUUCAUGAGAUGGGAUUUUAUGUUUAUAGUGAGGAACCAUUUUUUAUGAAUACAUUACUUGUGAUAAUGUUUUUUUAAAAACACUGAUACAUGUAGUUCCAUGUGAAGAAGGCAAAAUCAUGAAAAAGAAAAAAAAAAGAAAAUCCUAGAACAUUUUAACAAGAAACAAGACACAUUUUAAAAAUGGCACAAAGGUAGAAUCAAUACAUCAAUAUUCAUAAUAGUUAUUUACUAACAAUAAACUAUAUCCAAUCUCAAUGAUUUUACAGUAUUUGGUCAAAUUCAUCAAGGCAGAAAAAUAAAUUGAGAUUUAUUUUUUGAGAUCACAGAUAUAUAUCAUAUAUUCAUCACAUAUCACAUCAUUUCUAAUCAUGAUUAUUCAAGAAAAAAUGUAUGGACAGAUAGCCAGGAUUUUGUUUCUUAAAGCUGAGAGAGAAAGUUUCUAAUAAUAGAAAUGAGGAGUAACAGAUACGAAAUCGGUACCCCACACACAAGCAAGGUAAUGGAUUUAUAAAGAAAACAGCACAAUAUAUUAGGUGCUCAUUGGAAUUGUUUGGUGAAGAUUUUGAGAAAGUUUCAUUAAGUUCUGAUUAGGGUGAAAGAUACAUAAUAUGUCAUUUCAAAGUUAUGAUUAUGAUUAUGAUUAUGUUUAAGCUACACAAAAUUCCAUGUAGCUGGUUAGAACCAGAAUACAAUGUGGAAUAUUUUCAUAUGGACAAACCAACUGUUCUAAUUAAUUGCAAACCAACAAGACUUUUUAUAAAAGCUAC
rnacentral:lncRNA from 1 species